AGCAGCCGCGGUAAUUCCAGCUCCAAUAGCGUAUAUUAAAGUUGUUGCAGUUAAAAAGCUCGUAGUUGAAUUUCGGGGUUAGUAGGUUGGUCAUGCCUCUGGUAUGUACUGGUCUCACUGAUUCCUCCUUCCUGAUGAACCUUAAUGCCAUUUAUUUGGUGUUUUGGGGAAUUUGGACUGUUACUUUGAAAAAAUUAGAGUGUUUAAAGCAAGCUAACGCUUGAAUACAUUAGUAUGGAAUAAUGAAAUAGGACGUUCGAUCCUAUUUUGUUGGUUUCUAGGAUUGACGUAAUGAUUAAUAGGGAUAGUUGGGGGCAUUAGUAUUCAAUUGUCAGAGGUGAAAUUCUUGGAUUUAUUGAAGACUAACUACUGCGAAAGCAUUUGCCAAGGAUGUUUUCAUUAAUCAAGAACGAAAGUUAGGGGAUCGAAGACGAUCAGAUACCGUCGUAGUCUUAACCAUAAACUAUGCCGACUAGGGAUCGGAUGAUGUUAAUUUUUUAAUGACUCAUUCGGCGCCUUA
rnacentral:misc_RNA from 1 species